rnacentral:rRNA from 1 species
GGAACGAACGCUGGCGGCAGGCCUAACACAUGCAAGUCGAACGCUCUUUUCGGAGAGAGUGGCGCACGGGUGAGUAACGCGUGGGAAUCUGCCCUUUGGUUCGGAAUAACCCUGGGAAACUAGGGCUAACACCGGAUAAGCCCCGCGAGGGGGAAAGUUUACGCCGAAGGAGGAGCCCGCGUCCGAUUAGCUAGUUGGUGAGGUAAGAGCUCACCAAGGCUACGAUCGGUAGCUGGUCUGAGAGGACGAUCAGCCACACUGGGACUGAGACACGGCCCAGACUCCUACGGGAGGCAGCAGUGGGGAAUAUUGGACAAUGGGCGCAAGCCUGAUCCAGCCAUGCCGCGUGAGUGAUGAAGGCCUUCGGGUUGUAAAGCUCUUUUGGCGGGACGAUGAUGACGGUACCCGCAGAAUAACGCCCCGGACAAACUUCGUGCCAGCGAGCCGC